UUAGUGGCGGACGGGUGAGUAACGCGUGGAAAACCUGCCGUAUACUGGGGGAUAACACUUAGAAAUAGGUGCUAAUACCGCAUAAGCGCACGGCUUCGCAUGAAGCGGUGUGAAAAACUCUGGUGGUAUACGAUGGUUCCGCGUCUGAUUAGCUAGUUGGCGGGGUAACAGCCCACCAAGGCGACGAUCAGUAGCCGGCCUGAGAGGGUGAACGGCCACAUUGGGACUGAGACACGGCCCAAACUCCUACGGAAGGCAGCAG
rnacentral:rRNA from 1 species